rnacentral:tmRNA from 1 species
UACCAUAAAAGCGAUCGACGCAAGUCAGUCUAUGGUAAUAAAUACUCUCCGUAAUAAAUAUAAUGGACUCGAGGGCAGAACUCGACAUCUCCACCAAAGAGGGGGUGAAAUAGAUUCGACAUAUAUUCAAAGGGUGCAGCUUUUACUCAGCGUGAUGCAGCUGUAAAAUUGAUCGUAAAAAUAAAUGCAAACGACAACGUAAUGCAUGGAGAAGAGAGACUACAAACUGCUUUUGCAUAACAGUUUUCUCUGAACCGGCGGUUUUGGGGAGCCGAGCAACAGAAUUCCCCACGUCUUAAUAUUACUUUUAUGACUCGUCAAAGCGAAUUAU